rnacentral:tRNA from 1 species
ACUAGCGAAGCAAAACUUGCGUUUAACUGUUAAUUAAAAGGCUGCAGACGACUCUGCCGCUAGUA